AGGUGGGUACAGUGACCUGGAAAACAUUGAUUGUUCAGCCAAACGGCAAAACAAAAGCAGGGAGCAUAUAAAUGCCCACAUCAGAUUCAAGCUUCUGGGAAAAAGCUGCAUCGAUUAUGAUGAAGUUCUGCGUAUUCAAACUGCACAACACAACGAUAAAGUAAGAAGAAACAGGGAUGUUAUCAAACUGCUUAUUAACACCACUGCGUUUUUGGGUGUGUAAUAAUUUGCUUUUAGAGGACACGACGAGAGGGAAAGCUCUGCCAACAAAGGCAACUACAAGGAGUUUGAAGAGUCAAAUCCUGUCCUACACUGGUCAAGCCUCUGAACACCUCAACUCAUGCCUCAUACCCUCAUUCAAUCACUGCUGUGAUCCCUUUCCAACACUGUGACAAUGACCCAACACACCUCCAGGCUGUGUAAGGGCUAUUUGACCAAGAAUGAGAGUGAUGGAGUGCUGCAUCAGAUGACCUGGCCUCCACAAUCACCCGACCUAAACCCAAUUGAGAUGGUUUGGGAUGAGUUGGACCGCAGAGUGAAUGAAAAGCAGCCAACAAGUGCGCAGCAUAUUUGGAAACUCCUUGAAGACUGUUGGAAAAGCAUUCCUUAUAUUUUUGUUAUAUUUGUUUAACACUUCUUUGGUUACUACAUGAUUCCAUAUGUGUUAUUUCAUAGUUUUGAUGUCUUCACUAUCAUCCUACAAUGUAGAAAAUAGUAAAAAAUUUAAGAAAAACCCUUGAAUGAGUAGGUGUGUCCAAACCUUUGACUGGUACUGUAUGUACAGUGUAUUCGGACAGUAUUCAGACCCCUUGACUUUUGACACAUUUUGUUACGUUACAGCCUUAUUCUGAAAUGUAUUAAAUUAUUUUUUCCCCUCAUCAAUCCACACACAA